ensembl:lncRNA
GGCGCAUCGAAGAUCUCUACCGGCAGGUUCGGUAUGAAUAGGUGCGGCACGGUUCGCAUUUCCACCGCCAAAAGUAGGCGGGGUCCGGAUGUAGCCGUGAUUAGCCGUACUUAACUCUCAGUACACCUCCAUUGGGGUACCGAGACGUAUGAAAGGGUGCCAACAAGUUUGAGCUAAACAUGCUGUCUGUUGAUGACAGAAUCAUCACUUCCGUGCGACAGGGGGAUAAUAACAAACAAAAGCAGGCUACACUGUGUCAGGCUGCUAUGAGAUGACGACGCUUACGUACCUGCAGCGGCUAUCGCCAUGUGGCUUAAACCCUGCCCUAACCUAAGGGUACUGUCGGCGGAAGAAACACCAGACGGGACUGAGCUUGGCCAAACCGGCGUUAGCAACUUAUCUACAAACUCAUAAAAUCUUAUAUGGUGUUGUCCACUAUGUGGAGAAGAAGUUAGCUUGAAACAAGUGGUCAAAAUAAAGCAUAUAGACUCAAAUAAUUUACAUCAACGCACUCCCAUGAAGAAAACAGGAUGGGCUAAAGCACGAGACAUCCGCACUGCACUGGCAGCCAGGGGGACCCUACCAAAUAAAUGUGUUCAACCAUUAGCAUGGAGGUAAAGAAGAGGGCCAUUAAAACAAUGCUUGUACUAUUUCAACAAGAUUUCAACUAUAACUUUUUCAAUGUUGACCAAUUUAGAUGGAUUUUGGUGCAGGUAUUCAAAGAACGAAAUAGAUGACUCAUAUUCAAAUGGUCCAAAUAUGGACCAGAAAAUGAAAACCAUUUAAAUGAUAACUUCAGUAGCCGAGCGUCGAGAGAGCAGAUUGAGAGUGGAGGACAUAGAACAGAUUGUCAUUCAAUGAGCGAAUUCAUUGGAUUUUUCCUACUGUCAUCCUUCUGAAAUUCACCCUUCUGCCAAACCGGAGAGAGUAUUUUCCAUAAAAUACCCACCGUAAUGUCAUCAUGUGGUUUGUAAUGACUGUGAUGAGUGGUUGUGACGGUCACAGUGGAGGGUACUGGUGCGUGAGUGCAUCCUAGGAAAUGUGUCAUUUACC